UCGCUCCUACCGAUUGAACGUGCUGGUGAAGAGUUCGGAUUGGAAUCUUGGCUAGGUUUCCUAGCCCUGAUUCCGAGAAGUUCUUUAAACCCUCCCGUUUAGAGGAAGGAG
rnacentral:rRNA from 1 species